AUUGAACGCUGGCGGAAUGCUUUACACAUGCAAGUCGAACGGUAGAGGGGGCAACCCCUCGAGAGUGGCGAACGGGUGAGUAAUAUAUCGGAACGUGCCCAGUCGUGGGGGAUAACGUAGCGAAAGUUACGCUAAUACCGCAUACGAUCUAAGGAUGAAAGCGGGGGAUCGCAAGACCUCGCGCGAUUGGAGCGGCCGAUAUCAGAUUAGGUAGGUGGUAGGGUAAAGGCUCACCAAGCCAACGAUCCGUAGCUGGUCUCAGAGGACGACCAGCCACAGUAGAACUGAGACACGGUCCAGACUCCUACGCGAGGCAACAGUGGGGAAUUUUGGACAAUGGACGCAAGUCUGAUCCAGCCAUUCCGCGUGCAGGAUGAAGGCCCUCGGGUUGUAAACUGCUUUUGUACGGAACGAAAAGGUCUCUCUUAAUACGGGGGACUCAUGACGGUACCGUAAGAAUAAGCACCGGCUAACUACGUGCCAGCAGCCGCGGUAA
rnacentral:rRNA from 1 species